rnacentral:rRNA from 1 species
AGCGAACGCUGGCGGCAGGCCUAACACAUGCAAGUCGAACGAAGUCUUCGGACUUAGUGGCGGACGGGUGAGUACCACGUGGGAACGUGCCUUUAGGUUCGGAAUAACUCAGGGACACUUGUGCUAAUACCGAAUGUGCCCUUCGGGGGAAAGAUUUAUCGCCUUUAGAGCGGCCCGCGUCUGAUUAGCUAGUUGGUCAGGUAAAGGCUCACCAAGGCGACGAUCAGUAGCUGGUCUGAGAGGAUGAUCAGCCACAUUGGGACUGAGACACGGCCCAGACUCCUACGGGAGGCAGGAGUGGGGAAUCUUGCGCAAUGGGCGAAAGCCUGACGCAGCCAUGCCGCGUGAAUGAUGAAGGUCUUAGGAUUGUAAAAUUCUUUCACCGGGGACGAUGAUGGCGGUACCCGGAGAAGAAGCCCCGGCUAACUUCGUGCCAGCAGCCGCCGUAAAAC